AUGAACGCUGGCGGCGUGCCUAAUACAUGCAAGUCGAGCGAACAGACGAGGAGCUUGCUCCUUUGACGUUAGCGGCGGACGGGUGAGUAACACGUGGAUAACCUACCUAUAAGACUGGGAUAACUUCGGGAAACCGGAGCUAAUACCGGAUAACAUGUUGAACCGCAUGGUUCAACAGUGAAAGACGGUCUUGCUGUCACUUAUAGAUGGAUCCGCGCCGCAUUAGCUAGUUGGUAAGGUAACGGCUUACCAAGGCAACGAUGCGUAGCCGACCUGAGGGGGUGAUCGGCCACACUGGAACUGAGACACGGUCCAGACUCCUACGGGAGGCAGCAGUAGGGAAUCUUCCGCAAUGGGCGAAAGCCUGACGGAGCAACGCCGCGUGAGUGAAGAAGGUCUUCGGAUCGUAAAACUCUGUUAUUAGGGAAGAACAAAUGUGUAAGUAACUAUGCACGUCUUGACGGUACCUAAUCAGAAAGCCACGGCUAACUACGUG
rnacentral:rRNA from 1 species